ACACACACACACAGAUGAUCGUUGUGAUCCCCACUACAAGGACCUGGGGUGUGGGAAAGGAAAUUCAGCAUGGAAUUUGAAAGCUAGAUUUACAAGCUCCUUAUCUAACAGAGGGGAUGACAACAACCCUUCAUGCACUUACUGUUAAGAUUCCGUGGCAGGUUCUAGAUAAUUGAGAACUAUGCCUACGUCACAAUAAACUUGAGAUAUUAUUGUUUGACCA